rnacentral:rRNA from 1 species
UACGUAGGGUGCGCGCGUUAAUCGGAAUUACUGGGCGUAAAGCGUGCGCAGGCGGUUCGUUGUGUCGGCGGUGAAAGCCCCGGGCUCAACCUGGGAAUGGCCGUUGAAACUGGCGAACUGGAGUGUGGCAGAGGGGGGUGGAAUUCCGCGUGUAGCAGUGAAAUGCGUAGAGAUGCGGAGGAACACCGAUGGCGAAGGCAGCCCCCUGGGCUGACACUGACGCUCAGGCACGAAAGCGUGGGGAGCAAACAGG